GGAGAGGAUUUCGAUUGGCUUCGGCUUGUGAGGGGACAACCACAUGCCUCGCCAUGGAGGUUCAACUCCUCCCCUCUCCACCA
rnacentral:tRNA from 1 species